UACGUAGGGUGCAAGCGUUGUCCGGAAUUAUUGGGCGUAAAGAGCUCGUAGGCGGUUUGUCGCGUCGAAUGUGAAAACCCGGGGCUCAACCCCGGGCCUGCAUUCGAUACGGGCAGACUAGAGUUCGGUAGGGGAGUCUGGAAUUCCUGGUGUAGCGGUGAAAUGCGCAGAUAUCAGGAGGAACACCGGUGGCGAAGGCGGGACUCUGGGCCGAUACUGACGCUCAGGCGCGAAAGCCAGGGGAGCAAACGGG
rnacentral:rRNA from 1 species